CAACGAGGCUUUUCUUGCCAGUGUAGGCUCAGCUAACUCGCUUUGACAUCGGCACGAGUUUUCCUGGCCGUGCUGGUGACUGGAGGCG
rnacentral:rRNA from 1 species